AUAACGGAAACGGGUAGCGUGAUGAGUUUCCAGGCAAGACCUGGCGGCGGUUGGGGUAGAGGUUGGAGAUCGGGUGCGGAGGGAAGAUGAUUGUUAGGGUUAGGUUGCGGGGUGUCGGUGGUGGGGUUUACGGAAGUGGUGAAGGAAGAGAUUGCGAGUUCGAGGUCCCAAUUGUGAGCAGCUAGGAUUUCAGUGCAGAGGUCUGCAUCUUCUAAACCAGUUAUCGCUUGAAAAUACGCUAAUUUAUCUGCUACAUCUCCCAUUUUCCUUCCUUCUUCCACCUU
rnacentral:lncRNA from 1 species